UACGGGGGGGCAAGCGUUGUUCGGAAUUACUGGGCGUAAAGGGCUCGUAGGCGGCCAACUAAGUCAGACGUGAAAUCCCUCGGCUUAACCGGGGAACUGCGUCUGAUACUGGUUGGCUUGAAUCCGGGAGAGGGAUGUGGAAUUCCAGGUGUAGCGGUGAAAUGCGUAGAUAUCUGGAGGAACACCGGUGGCGAAGGCGGCAUCCUGGACCGGUAUUGACGCUGAGGAGCGAAAGCCAGGGGAGCAAACGGG
rnacentral:rRNA from 1 species